CUAUAGAACAUGACCUUUAGCAGC
rnacentral:miRNA from 1 species